AUCUAUAUAGCUCCUGUUUUUCAACGUAUAUUUAAUACCUACAGUUUUAUUUUUUCAUUUAAAAAUUUUGAAUGAUGAAAAAUCUCUGCUAUUUAGAAGAAAUUAUUACAUUUUAUAUCCAUAUUAUGACAUUCUGCAUGCAAAAAGUUAUAAUUUUGAUGUAGGAUGUCAUAAUAUGGCACAGGAUGUCAUAAUUUUUUUUAAGGAGUAGAAGUAUUUUCAUCAUUUAAAAUUUUCAAAUAAAAAAAUGGUACUGUAGGAAUUAAAUGCGCAUUGAAAAGUG
rnacentral:lncRNA from 1 species